rnacentral:rRNA from 1 species
UCCGUAGGUGAACCUGCGGAGGGAUCAUUACACAAAUAUGAAGGCGGGCUGGAACCUCUCGGGGUUACAGCCUUGCUGAAUUAUUCACCCUUGUCUUUUGCGUACUUCUUGUUUCCUUGGUGGGUUCGCCCACCACUAGGACAAACAUAAACCUUUUGUAAUUGCAAUCAGCGUCAGUAACAAAUUAAUAAUUACAACUUUCAACAACGGAUCUCUUGGUUCUGGCAUCGAUGAAGAACGCAGCGAAAUGCGAUAAGUAGUGUGAAUUGCACAAUUCAGUGAAUCAUCGAAUCUUUGAACGCACAUUGCGCCCUUUGGUAUUCCAAAGGGCAUGCCUGUUCGAGCGUCAUUUGUACCCUCAAGCUUUGCUUGGUGUUGGGCGUCUUGUCUCUAGCUUUGCUGGAGACUCGCCUUAAAGUAAUUGGCAGCCGGCCUACUGGUUUCGGAGCGCAGCACAAGUCGCACUCUCUAUCAGCAAAGGUCUAGCAUCCAUUAAGCCUUUUUUUCAACUUUUGACCUCGGAUCAGGUAGGGAUACCCGCUGAACUUAAGCAUAUCAAUAAGCGGAGGAA